UACAGAGGUCUCAAGCGUUGUUCGGAUUCAUUGGGCGUAAAGAGCUCGUAGGCGGUUCGGCAAGUCGGAUGUGAAAUCUCCACGCUUAACGUGGAGGGGCCAUUCGAAACUGCCGUGACUCGAGUCCGGUAGGGGAGUGCGGAAUUCCCGGUGUAGCGGUGAAAUGCGCAGAUAUCGGGAGGAACACCAGUGGCGAAGGCGGCACUCUGGGCCGGAACUGACGCUGAGGAGCGAAAGCGUGGGGAGCGAACAGG
rnacentral:rRNA from 1 species